GAUGAACGCUGGCGGCGUGCCUAAUACAUGCAAGUCGAGCGAACAGACGAGGAGCUUGCUCCUCUGACGUUAGCGGCGGACGGGUGAGUAACACGUGGAUAACCUACCUAUAAGACUGGGAUAACUUCGGGAAACCGGAUCUAAUACCGGAUAAUAUAUUGAACCGCAUGGUUCAAUAGUGAAAGACGGUUUUGCUGUCACUUAUAGAUGGAUCCGCGCCGCAUUAGCUAGUUGGUAAGGUAACGGCUUACCAAGGCAACGAUGCGUAGCCGACCUGAGAGGGUGAUCGGCCACACUGGAACUGAGACACGGUCCAGACUACUACGGGAGGCAGCAGUAGGGAAUCUUACGCAAUGGGCGAAAGCCUGACGGAGCAACGCCGCGUGAGUGAUGAAGGUCUUCGGAUCGUAAAACUCUGUUAUUAGGGAAGAACAAAUGUGUAAGUAACUAUGCACGUCUUGACGGUACCUAAUCAGAAAGCCACGGCUAACUACGUG
rnacentral:rRNA from 1 species